rnacentral:rRNA from 1 species
GGUGAGGUAAUGGCCCACCAAGGCGACGAUCGGUAGCUGGUCUGAGAGGAUGAUCAGCCACAUUGGGACUGAGACACGGCCCAAACUCCUACGGGAGGCAGCAGUGGGGAAUAUUGGACAAUGGGCGCAAGCCUGAUCCAGCCAUGCCGCGUGAGUGAUGACGGCCUUAGGGUUGUAAAGCUCUUUCGUCAGGGACGAUAAUGACGGUACCUGAAGAAGAAGCCCCGGCUAACUUCGUGCCAGCAGCCGCGGUAAUACGAAGGGGGCUAGCGUUGUUCGGAAUUACUGGGCGUAAAGCGCGUGUAGGCGGGUCUUUAAGUCAGGGGUGAAAUGCCAGGGCUCAACCUUGGAACUGCCUUUGAUACUGGAGAUCUUGAGUCCGGGAGAGGUGAGUGGAACUGCGAGUGUAGAGGUGAAAUUCGUAGAUAUUCGCAAGAACACCAGUGGCGAAGGCGGCUCACUGGCCCGGUACUGACGCUGAGAUGCGAAAGCGUGGGGAGCAAACAGGAUUAGAUACCCUGGUAGUCCACGCUGUAAACGAUGGAUGCUAGCCGUUAGGCAGCUUGCUGCUUAGUGGCGCAGUUAACACUUUAAGCAUCCCGCCUGGGGAGUACGGUCGCAAGA